GGCUCUGUACUUAUACAUCCAGUCAUUGUGUUGAUGUAUUAUGGUUAAUUGUGUAUGCUCCCUAUUAAAUUUUUGCUUAUAUGAUAGGUCAAUAUGCCGUUUUGGGCUUUGUUACAUUUUUUUAAAUAGUGAUUACGAUUGUAACCCCUUUUUAACUUAUUAAUGUCCAUUAUUUUUGUUCACAUAUCGUUGUCAAUAUAAUGGAAUUUGAUGCGACUGUCUUACAAGUGAUAGGUUAAACUAGCUUUAACCCACCAUUUUCAGCAUAAGGAAAUGCCUGUACCACGUCAUGGAUAUGACACAAGUUCUACAUUCGUUUGAUGUGUUUGGAGUUUAUGAUUUAGCCAUUUGAUUUGGGUGUUUCCUAUUUUCUUUUUUUGUUUCCACGGAGUUCAGUAUUUUUGAGAAUUUACUUUCAUCUCAAACAAAUUGAAGGAAAUGUCUUUCAGAAAAAUCUACUUUCAAUGAACUGACCAAAUUUAAAUCUUCCAACGAAAGCAUAUUUAAAUCAAAAUAAAAUGAACGUGCCUUGUUUGUCAAACAAAGAGGAGUCUAUAUGAAAUUUCACUCUGCUUUCAAUAUGAUCAAUGGAUAUCUCAAGCACAACCAUGGAUAAACAGACGAAGUUUACACCAAUCGGCGGACAAUAUUUAAAAAACACCCCAAUUCCCGAUACGAAAAUCUAAUUUCUGUAGCAGAAUUUUUCUCGUGUUCCUUUCAU
rnacentral:lncRNA from 1 species